GACGAACGCUGGCGGCGUGCUUAACACAUGCAAGUCGAACGGAAAGGCCCUGCUUGCAGGGUACUCGAGUGGCGAACGGGUGAGUAACACGUGGGUGAUCUGCCCUGCACUUCGGGAUAAGCCUGGGAAACUGGGUCUAAUACCGAUAGGAGCCAUUUUUAGUGUGAUGGUUGGAAAGUUUUUUCGGUGUAGGAUGAGCUCGCGGCCUAUCAGCUUGUUGGUGGGGUAAUGGCCUACCAAGGCGGCGACGGGUAGCCGGCCUGAGAGGGUGGACGGCCACAUUGGGACUGAGAUACGGCCCAGACUCCUACGGGAGGCAGCAGUGGGGAAUAUUGCACAAUGGGCGCAAGCCUGAUGCAGCGACGCCGCGUGGGGGAUGACGGCCUUCGGGUUGUAAACUCCUUUCGCUAGGGACGAAGCUUUUUGUGACGGUACCUAGAUAAGAAGCACCGGCUAACUACGUG
rnacentral:rRNA from 1 species